rnacentral:rRNA from 1 species
GACGAACGCUGGCGGCGUGCUUAACACAUGCAAGUCGAACGGAAAGGCCCUGCUUUUGUGGGGUGCUCGAGUGGCGAACGGGUGAGUAACACGUGAGUAACCUGCCCUUGACUUUGGGAUAACUUCAGGAAACUGGGGCUAAUACCGGAUAGGAGCUCCUGCUGCAUGGUGGGGGUUGGAAAGUUUCGGCGGUUGGGGAUGGACUCGCGGCUUAUCAGCUUGUUGGUGGGGUAGUGGCUUACCAAGGCUUUGACGGGUAGCCGGCCUGAGAGGGUGACCGGCAAAAUUGGGACUGAGAUACGGCACAGACUCCUACGGGAGGCAGCAGUGGGGAAUAUUGCAGAAUGGGCGGAAGCAUGAUGCAGAAACGCCGCGGGCGGGAUGACGGCCUUCGGGUUGUAAACAGCUUUAGACUGUGACGAAGAGUGAGUGACGGUAAUGGGUAAAGAAGCACCGGCUAACUACGUG